UGGUCGAGGCGGCAGGACUCGAACCCGCAUACUCCACUUACUCGGUUAACGGCGGUUUAGAAGACCGCUGAGAUACGCCCCG
rnacentral:tRNA from 2 species